rnacentral:rRNA from 1 species
AAGGAAUAUUGGUCAAUGGACGCAAGUCUGAACCAGCCAUGCCGCGUGAAGGAUGAAGGUCCUCUGGAUUGUAAACUUCUUUUAUCUGGGACGAAAACGGGAUUUUUAUCUCAAUUGACGGUACCAGAGGAAUAAGCACCGGCUAACUCCGUGCCAGCAGCCGCGGUAAUACGGAGGGUGCGAGCGUUAUCCGGAUUUACUGGGUUUAAAGGGUGCGUAGGUGGGCUUAUAAGUCAGUGGUGAAAUCUCCGAGCUUAACUUGGAAACUGCCGUUGAUACUAUAGGUCUUGAAUUAUCUGGAGGUAAGCGGAAUAUGUCAUGUAGCGGUGAAAUGCUUAGAUAUGACAUAGAACACCAAUUGCGAAGGCAGCUUACUACAUAUAAAUUGACGCUGAGGCACGAA